rnacentral:rRNA from 1 species
AUUGAACGCUGGCGGCAUGCUUUACACAUGCAAGUCGAACGGGCUUAGGGGCUUGCUCCUAAGUUAGUGGCGAACGGGUGAGUAAUGCAUCGGAACGUACCGUGUAGUGGGGGAUAACCCGGCGAAAGUCGGAUUAAUACCGCAUACGAUCUAAGGAUGAAAGCAGGGGAUCGCAAGACCUUGCGCUAUACGAGCGGCCGAUGUCGGAUUAGCUAGUUGGUAGGGUAAAGGCCUACCAAGGCAACGAUCCGUAGCGGGUCUGAGAGGAUGAUCCGCCACACUGGGACUGAGACACGGCCCAGACUCCUACGGGAGGCAGCAGUGGGGAAUUUUGGACAAUGGACGAAAGUCUGAUCCAGCCAUGCCGCGUGAGUGAAGAAGGCCUUCGGGUUGUAAAGCUCUUUUGUCCGGGAGCAAAUCCUGUUCACUAAUACUGAGCGGGGCUGAGAGUACCGGAAGAAUAAGCACCGGCCAACUACGUGCCAGCCGCCGCCGUAAAAC